CUGGCGGCNUGCUUANNCAUGCAAGUCGAACGGUAACAGGAGAGAGCUUGCUCUCUUGCUGACGAGUGGCGGACGGGUGAGUAAUACAUGGGAAUCUGCCCUGAGGUGGGGGAUAACCCGGGGAAACUCGGGCUAAUACCGCAUGAUCUCUUCGGAGCAAAGUGGGGGACCUUCGGGCCUCACGCCUUGGGAUGAGCCCAUGUCUGAUUAGCUAGUUGGUGGGGUAAAGGCCUACCAAGGCAACGAUCAGUAGCCGGCCUGAGAGGGUGUACGGCCACACUGGGACUGAGACACGGCCCAGACUCCUACGGGAGGCAGCAGUGGGGAAUAUUGGACAAUGGGGGCAACCCUGAUCCAGCAAUGCCGCGUGUGUGAAGAAGGCCUGCGGGUUGUAAAGCACUUUUAUCGGGGAAGAAUAGGUUGUCGUUAAUAGCGCCAACACUUGACAUUACCCGUUGAAUAAGCACCGGCUAACUCCGUGCCAGCAGCCGCGGUAAUACGGAGGGGGUUAGCGUUGUUCGGAAUUACUGGGCGUAAAGCGCACGUAGGCGGACCAUUAAGUCAGGGGUGAAAUCCCGGGGGUNNACCCCCGAAANUGCCUUUGAUACUGGUGGGUCUGGAGUUCNAGAGAGGUGAGUGGAAUUCCGAGUGUAGAGGNGUNANAUUCGUAGAUAUUNNNGGAACACCAGUGGCGAANNNGCUCACUGGGCUCGAUACUGACNCUGAGGUGCNAAAGCNUGGGGAGCAAAC
rnacentral:rRNA from 1 species